GACGAACUUCCAAUUAGACCGGAAAGCCCGGAAUCUGACCACAUCCUGGAGGCAUCCAGGCAAUGGUGCCGAGUGAAAACUGAAGGUGUAACAGCUCCGAUGCGCUCCUGGCUUGCUUGGUUCCCCUUGGAAUUUUUGUAUCCCCUCUUGGUUGGUACUGGAUCGUGUUCGGCCCCGUGUCCAUGUUGUAAUCCAGCUAAUUAAUGCACCUGAGAUGAGAUUUGUGUGCG